GACGAACGCUGGCGGCGUGCUUAACACAUGCAAGUCGAACGCUGAAGCUUGGUGCUUGCACUGGGUGGAUGAGUGGCGAACGGGUGAGUAAUACGUGAGUAACCUGCCCUUGACUCUGGGAUAAGCCUGGGAAACUGGGUCUAAUACUGGAUACGACAUGUCACCGCAUGGUGGUGUGUGGAAAGGGUUUUACCGGUUUUGGAUGGGCUCACGGCCUAUCAGCUUGUUGGUGGGGUAAUGGCUCACCAAGGCGACGACGGGUAGCCGGCCUGAGAGGGUGACCGGCCACACUGGGACUGAGACACGGCCCAGACUCCUACGGGAGGCAGCAGUGGGGAAUAUUGCACAAUGGGCGGAAGCCUGAUGCAGCGACGCCGCGUGAGGGAUGACGGCCUUCGGGUUGUAAACCUCUUUCAGCACGGAAGAAGCGAAAGUGACGGUACGUGCAGAAGAAGCGCCGGCUAACUACGUG
rnacentral:rRNA from 1 species